rnacentral:rRNA from 1 species
GACGAACGCUGGCGGCGUGCUUAACACAUGCAAGUCGAACGGUGAAGCGCCUUCCUUUUUGGUGGGUGUGGAUGAGUGGCGAACGGGUGAGUAACACGUGAGUAACCUGCCCCCUUCUUCUGGAUAACCGCAUGAAAGUGUGGCUAAUACGGGAUAUUCUGGGUCUGUCGCAUGAUGGGUCUGGGAAAGAUAUUGUUUCGGUGGGGGAUGGGCUCGCGGCCUAUCAGCUUGUUGGUGGGGUGAUGGCCUACCAAGGCGGUGACGGGUAGCCGGCCUGAGAGGGUGGACGGUCACACGGGGACUGGGACACGGCCAAGACUGCAACGGGAGGCAGCAUGGGGGAAUAUUGCACAAUGGGGGGAAGCCUGAUGCAGCGACGCCGCGUGAGGGAUGGAGGCCUUCGGGUUGUGAACCUCUUUCGCCAGUGAAGCAGGCCUGCCUCGUUUGUGGGUGGGUUGACGGUAGCUGGAUAAGAAGCGCCGGCUAACUACGUG